rnacentral:rRNA from 1 species
AAUAAUUUAUUUGAUGGUUUCUUACUACAUGGAUAACCGUAGUAAUUCUAGAGCUAAUACAUGCGUAAAGUCCCAACUCUCGCGGGGAGGGAUGUAUUUAUUAGAUUAAAAACCAAUGCGGCCUUUGGUCGGUUUUGUGUUGAUUCAUAGUAACUUUUCGGAUCGCAUGGCUUCACGCCGGCGACAGUUCAUUCAAAUUUCUGCCCUAUCAGCUUUCGACGGUAGUGUAGUGGACUACCGUGGCAUUAACGGGUAACGGAGAAUUAGGGUUCGAUUCCGGAGAGGGAGCCUGAGAAACGGCUACCACA